GCGCAGGAAGGUCCGAGGCUUGGGGAGCAGCCGUUGGCUCUGGUGCCCCUGGGGGUGGGAGCACGAGUGGGCAAGGAUGAUGGUGAGGCAGAGGAGGCGGCCCCGACCCGGCGAGCUCGAGGGAGCGCCCGGCUGAGAGGCGGGGGGCCGAGGGGCCCGGGGAGCGGGCGCCACCGAGGGCCCUGGAAGCGGCAGGGCUUGGGGAGAGGAGACGCGUGUGUGGAGCGUGGGGACCCCAGCCCAGCUCCCACUUGCAGACCUGGGCCGCGGGCUGCCGGCCGAGUGGCCGGGGGGCCUGGCUGCCCAGGAGGCGGGCCGGGGCCGCGGCCGGGGGCGCGGAGCGGAGUUAGGGUCACCAGGCCGAGCAGAGGUGGGACGGACCGACGCAGAGAGGAAGGGAAGCCACCUGGCCUGAAGAUCCUGUCUCUAAGAUCCCAUUCUGAGAGUUUUGCUCUUCUUGCCCAGGCUGGAGUGCAAUGGCGUGAUGUUGGCUCAACACAACCUCCACUUCCUGGGUUCAAGUGAUUCUCCUGCCUCAGCCUCCUGUGUAGCUGGGAUUACAGGCAUGCUCCACCACGACCGACUAAUUUUGCAUUUUUAGUAGAGACGGGAUUUCUCCAUGUUGUUCAUGUUGGUUUCGAACUCCCAACCUCAGGUGAUCUGCCUGCCUCCGCCUCCCAAAGUGCUGGAUUACAGGUUGUGAGCCACUAUGCCCGGCCUCUCUUAAUCUAUUUCUGAGAGUUCUGUUACAUAUUCUGAUGUUUAAUCUUCAGUUAUAUGUAUUAGAUAUCUUCCACCAAAGUACAGUUUGCCUUUUAAUUUUAUUAGAUUUUCUAUUGCAUGUUGAAAAGUAGGUGAUAUUUUUGUGUCUUAUCUAAGAAAUACUUCCUGCUCUAAGUCCCGAAGAUGUUCUUUUAAGUUUGGCUGUUCAUGUUUAGCAAUUUGAAGUGCCAAAAUUUUGUAAUUAUAUCAUGAAGAAGGGAACUAAUUUUACUUUUUCCUUCUAAAGAACUGGCCAGUUUAGUACUAUUGAAUAGUUUCAUUUUUUCCCCACUGAUCUGAUUAAAAGAAAAUUUCCCGGUAUCUUUUAUGUAUCUAGUUCUACGUUUUGAGGCUCUCUACAGUUUUGCAGCAAAUCUGGCUAUCUGGUAAUGUGUAUUUGCAUCAUGCCUUCUUCCAAAUUUCUUGCUGUUGGUCCUUUGUGCCAUGUGAACUUUUGGAUCUGUUUCUCAGCUUUCAUUAAAAAUACUGUAGGCAAUUUGACUGGAAUUUCUUUGAAUUUAUAGAUGUUCAUGAGAAUCACCAUCCUUAAAAAAUGUAUCCUACCAUUUGUAUAGAGCUUCAUGCUUUCAGGCAUUACUGUUUUCUCUGUAAAGAUUUUAAAUAUAUCAUUAGUUUUGUCGUUGUUAUGAAUGAUACUUAAAAAAUGAAUAUUUUCUACUUUAUUAGUUUUCAAAUAUUCUUUACUGAACACUUUUGCUAAAUUCUUUAUUAGUUUUAAUAGUUCUUAUUGUCGGUUGGAUUUCCUAUAUAGAUUAUUCUUAAUAUAUGUUUUAUUUUAGCAUGGACAAUAUUUUUAUCUCUAGAGAAAUUAAUGCAAUUUCAGAGAAACUGUGUGCCGCAGGAUCAGGAUGGUAGAAGGCAGUUCCACUUAAUUUGGGAAAUACCUAUUUGAAAGUUUAUAUCCAUGUGCAUCCUGAGGAGUGGGGGGUGUCUGUCUCUGUCUGUCUUGGGUUUUUCUUGACACUAGAGUUAGUCUCUGCAAGGGCCUUUAGAAGUUAAAUUCCACCCUCCACCCCCAAGUCUGGUAUAGAUAUUACUGCUACUCUUGGACUUCACUCAAUUUAUUUCUUUUUAGGAGGCGCAGGUCAGAAUGGAGAUGGGCUGCAGACCGGGCAGCUAUUGUCAGCUGCUGGAACUGGCUUCAGGCUCAUGUUUCUGACUUGGAAUAUCAAAUUCGUCAGCAAACAGACAUUUACAAACAGAUACGUGCUAAUAAGGGAUAGGUGUCUGGUGUUUUUUAGUACAGCUGAAAACUAUCAUUAUUGCUUUUCUCCCAUCCCCUCCCACCUCUUUGGUAAUCCCCUCCCCAUAACCCCCUUUUAAACUAUUUCAAGACAAGUGGUUUAAUGACCUGAUAUAGUGGUUUAAUUUGUUUAAGAACCUGAUGGGAUCACACGUGGUGGCUCACUCUGGUAAUCCCAGCACUUUGGGAGGCCAAGGCAGGAGGAUCAUUUGAGCUCAGGAGUUCGAGACCAGCCUGGGCAACAUAGUGAGACCUUGUGUUUACAAAAAAUACAAAAAUUAGCCGAGCAUGAUGGCACGUGCCUGUAGUCCCAGCUACUGAGGAGGCUGAAGUGGGAGGAUCACUUGAGCCCAUGAAGUGGAGGUUGCAGUGAGCCAAGAUUGUGCCACCACACUCCAGCCUGGGCAACUAAGACCUUGUCUCAUUAAAAGGAAAACACUAUUAGAAUAUAAUGGUUAAUUGAACGUGUAUUUAGAACAAAACAGUGUGGGUAUCUGAGUUAACAGGAAACAAGAAAAAUGCUGUAUAAUGCAAGCAAGCCAUUGAUGUAACUGUCAUAUUUGUUAGAUUUAUGGAAAAGUGCCUACUAUGUCUCAGCAGCAUUCUCCAUAGUAGGGUCACAGUAGUGAACAAAAAUCCUACCUUCAUGAAGCUUACAUUCUUGCAAAGUAUUUUUUAUAUUAGCUUGGUGUGGCUGAGCUCUAUCUUUAUCUAGACCCAUGUCUAGAAAAAGUCUGUGGCUACUAAAAAUAAGGGUCAAAAUGCCUUUUUGACCUUAGUACUAGUCAAAGCCUUAAGAAAAUGGCUUUCCUGUGAACAGUAUCCAUUAAUUAAUUAGUAGGCCAAAAGUUAACGGUUGAUCAACUGAUAAAAUGAACAGAAUGAUCAGGGUUUGAAGUGAAAGUUCUGUGGGCUGUCUAAUCAUUUAAACUUUUAUUCCAAAAAUUUCACUGGAGACUUCUACCUUCUUUCCAGAUUGGAGAUACAUAUAUAUAUAUAUAUUUUCCAAACAUUUGAUAGAGCUACUUUAAUUGAGGACACAGUUUUUAUUAUUAAUUUAUUCCCUUAGGGUAGUGUAAAAAUUAAAUCCUGAUUUACUUAUUUAAAAAUUAGCUAAAUCUUGAUUUACUUAUUUAAAAAUUAGCUAGAACAAAACUAAUAAACGUUCUAGAUUUGGUCAAUAUUUUGCUUUCUCAACUCUUCACAAAGGAAAUUUUAAAGUGAGAUUUGUAGAACUUGAACUGGAAUGGUGACUAAGAAUAACUAGGAGGUGACUGGAUAUGCCUGUACUGAGGAGAAAAACACAGUCUUUCUCUAUCAGAGACACCUCUUCAGUGUCUGUUUCUAGGUUUUUAUAGCCAGUAGUUAAGUGGGAAUUUCUAUAUUUGAGAACUAGAGUCUCUUAGUAACAACUGAGAUUAGUACAAUAGUAGUCAUAAGUGUUGCUUCAUCUUUUUAUAUACAUUCAUAAAUAUAUAUAUGUAAGUUUAUAUAUGUGUAUAAGUUAUGUUAUUUUAGUUGCCUGUUAUAAAACUGCCACACUUCAUAGAACUUAAGAUGCUAUUGAUUGUAAGAUGUACCAUUAUUUUAAGUACAACAAAGAAAUUAUUUCCAUUAAACUAGGGCAUAACAGCAAUUGUAAGAUGCAUCUUGUUUUAAAAGUUGUUGACAUGUGGGGAAAGUACCUCUUAGAACUGAAGAAAUACUGUGUAUCAAUUCUCAGGAAACUUUGAAAUUACACAGAAGUAUAAAAGACACACCCUCCCCCCGCCCCCCCAAAACAAAACGAAACAAAACCAACAGCUCAAAAUUAUCUCGCUACCCACAUUAUGGUACAUUUUCCUAGCAUAUGAAUAAUUUGUUUAAACACAGUCAUGUUAUAUAUGUGCCCUGAAUAUUUCCCAGUUGGUUUUUGGAAAACAUUUUUAAUGGUUGCCUGCUAUUGGCUUUCCUCGUUGACUAUUUAAGUUACGUUUAUUAUUAAAAUUAAGUAUGCCAUGAUAAACAUCUUUAUCUUAGUCAAA